UUCGGGCACAUGGUGUGAUUCUUGGGGUGUCCUGUGCAGGGCCAGGAGUUGGACUCGAUGAUCCCUGUGGGCUCGUUCCAGCCUGGGAUAUCCUGUGGUUCUGUGGCACAGGUGUGAGGGAGGCCGCGGGAAGGGCGUGUCGCAGCGCCCCUGGGCCAGGGCCUGCCGGGGGACCGGGCGUGUCCCUCAGCCCGGCGGGAUGAGGAGGCCCGGGAGCGAUGAGGAAUCCAGCGGGGCUCGGGGAUCUGGGGAUUCCUAAACCCUCUGUGUGAGGGGACAGAGCCCGCGGGGGUGCUGGGGCCCGCUGAUGGUGGCUAUUGGGUUGCCAGGGAUUGUCUCGUCUCUCAGUUGUCUCUUCUUACCAGGAGCAGUCCUGCCUGCCUCUCCCACAACUCCAAGUCCACAAAGCACCGACUUUCUGGAGGCUUCUUCUUUCCCCCAGGUGGGAAAAAUGCAGGGACAAUGACUGAAGAGCUGCAUGGAAGAGAAGGUUAUGACAGAGAUGGUCCCAUCAUCCACUGGCCACUCUCCAAAGAGACAAAAGAGAAGAGAGGCAAUGGGUUGAACACAAAAAUGGCCUGUAAGGAGGAUGCUCCAAACUAUCUGAGACCUGCAAUAAAAUAUGCAGGAAGUUAUUGCUGCUUCAAGUGGCAUUAAGUCCUACCCGGUGCCCAGCGUGAGUCACAGAGCACACACAGGCUCCAGUGGUGGCAGCAGCACAGCCUCUGCAGCUGUAGGGGGGUGGAAGCACCAGGCAGCGAGGGGAAGGCUGUCAUUUUGGAAAGGUAGGAGCAUUUCUCUUGGGAGACCGUGUUUUGAGAAGCUGGAGGAAGCCUUGGUUCCUCACAUCAGAAUUAAAAAGAACAGACUCGUGUCAAUAGAAAGCUCUGACUAGAGGUUGUGCUCUUUUACCCUGAGCUCCAAGAAACUUGCACAGAUGCCUGUUCAACCCCAGGCAAGUACCUGGUUGUUUUGUUCCUGGCUGGUUCAGGCAAAGAGAAAGGACGCAGAUCUCAAGAUUUAAACUUUUACACCAUUAUUAUUCAGAAAAGCGCUCAUUUUCUUCAUUUUGCCAGAAAUGGCAUGUUUAUUGGUGACUAGACAACUUUGUUUAGUGAGGAAACUGAGGUGUCAGUGAGCUUUGUAGGCGCUUUUCCCUCCCAAGGGGAACUCCAGCGGUGAAUCAGCUGCAGCUUCCCAGCACACAGGCAGAAUAGUUUCGUUUCUUUGUGCUUUGUAAAGCCAAGCCCAUGUGCCUCCCCCUCCAUGAAGCCAGAUGGCUGGUGCUUAGGCCUGCUCUUUUUCUUUGCAGGGAUGUGCUGGAUGGGAGGAGUGCAGCCAGACAAGCACAGGAGCCUUGGUCCCUCCAGCCAGGCACAAGGCUGGCUUCCUGGCUCCAGCGCUCCCUCUGGACCCCCCUUGGAUGGUCUGUCAUUAAUUUAGUGACUGACUUGAACUUCAGCACUUAAAGUGUGGAUAUUUCACCGCCUUAACAGUAACUGGAUCCUAUCCACUACUUAGCGGUGAUUUCAGACACUGACUUGAAUGAAACCUUUUCCCACAAUGUUCAAAUUCAGUUCUCAACAGCUAAAGGGUAAGAGGUUCAGUAAUAACACGGGAACAGGUGACCACUGAGAUGUGAAUAAAAUAGAGCAAAAUCAUGGUCUGUAUUGCCUUUCAUUACACCAGGACAUCUACUGUAGUGUGGAAAACUAAAUGAAAGACCUGGCAAAUAUGAAAGAGUAAAAUACCUCCAGCUGCACGUAAUAAGGCUGCAAUAGCAUUAGGGAGUCCUGGAGUCAUUACAAACUACAAAUACAAGGCUCCAUGGGUUGUUUACUUUCAUGAGGGACACAGGGCAAAAUUAUAUGUGCUCUGAAUAUGUGUUGCUUUUGUAAAUAUAUUAUUAGUUACAGUCAAGAUUCUGAUUUUGCUACAAGAAUCAUUAGAAAGUACAGUCUUAGUGAAAAGUUAAGGAACUCGUAAUUUGCCCAAAUACGUUAAACCUGCAAACAAAUUAGCUUUUUCUUUUAAUUUGAAUAGCAACUCAUACCCCUUGUGAAUACUCUUAUCAUGUAUAUGCAAAACAAAAAAAAGUUUUAGAUACGCUUAACAGGCCGGAAUUUGUCUCAAGGUCAGUUAUACUGACAUUUUUCCCUAAAUGUAAUUAAGUUUGUGUCGUCACGUUUUCUGAGUAACUGAAGAUUUGUAUUAUUUUGAUGCCAUUAUGAGGAACUGCCAUAAGAAUGCCCGUGUAGGAACUUCAUAUGGAAACAAUAAAUAAAAGCAGCAUUUGUCACUGAUCAGCCUGGGAGGAGUAUAAUAAAAUCAUAGUACAACUUUAUAGUUA